CCUACGGGAGGCAGCAGUGAGGAAUAUUGGUCAAUGGACGAGAGUCUGAACGAGCCAAGUAGCGUGAAGGAUGACUGCCCUAUGGGUUGUAAACUUCUUUUAUAUGGGAAUACAAUGUUCCACGUGUCUGUUUUUGUAUGUACCAUAUGAAUACGGAUCGGCUAACUCCGUGCCAGCAGCCGCGGUAAUACGGAGGAUCCGAGCGUUAUCCGGAUUUAUUGGGUUUAAAGGGAGCGUAGGUGGAUUGUUAAGUCAGUUGUGAAAGUUUGCGGCUCAACCGUAAAAUUGCAGUUGAAACUGGCAGUCUUGAGUACAGUAGAGGUGGGCGGAAUUCGUGGUGUAGCGGUGAAAUGCUUAGAUAUCACGAAGAACUCCGAUUGCGAAGGCAGCUCACUGGACUGUAACUGACACUGAGGCUCGAAAGUGUGGGUAUCAAACAGGAUUAGAUACCCGGGUAGUC
rnacentral:rRNA from 1 species